rnacentral:lncRNA from 1 species
CGGGACUCUGAACUCUGACCAGGCGAGGGACUUCGACCUCCCCUUGAAGGAGCGGUUCUACCUGCAGCCGCUGCCGCCGGCGGAGGCGGUGGCGAGGGUGAAGACGUCGGCGCAGGACAUCAUCAACCUCAAGCCACUCAUCGACAAGAAGGCGUGGCCGUACGUCCAGAACGACCUCCGCCUCCGGGCCUCCUACCUGCGCUACGACCUCAAGACCGUCAUCGCUUCCAAGCCCAAGGAGGAGAAGCAGAGCCUCAAGGAGCUCACCGGCAAGCUCUUCAGCACCAUCGACGAUGUAAGUGGACCCGAGCUCACUGCGGAAUCUCCUUUCGGCAUGGAAAUAACACGUGAGCUUAUCUUCUCGUUUUUGGCAGCUUGACCAUGCCGCAAAGAUCAAGAGCACCCCGGAGGCCGAGAAAUACUUCGCAGCAACCAAAGAUGCGCUCGGCGACGUCCUCGCCAAGCUAGCCUAGAUGGAAGCUAAUAGAUGGGUUAACGAUGGCCACGUAAUUUCGGACUUGUGUUUGUUCAUAUGGAGCCGGCAAAUGUACCGUUUCCUGUUCAUAUUAUAUCCCAAGUUCUUGACAAGUAC